GUUUUACAGCAAAGCCUCAGGGAGGUGGAUGGGGGUGGGCAGGGCUACGCAGAAACAAGAGGUGUGGUGUGUGAGUGUUUGUGGGAGUGGGUGUGUGAGAGAGAGAGAGAGGAAACUUAUAGAUGUGAUCCUGGGUGCCUCUCCAGCGGUUUAGCUUUGGAAAUUUACCUUCACAAUAGAGCAGCUGGGAAAAUUUGGAUGAGGAAAAUGAACGAGGGGAUGAUGUCUUUCACCUCAUCAACAGAAGCAGACUGUUAUUGCACCAGGCAGCUCCCAGAGGCAAAUGUGAAAGUGUCUGCACACAUUUUAAAGGGAUAACAAAAACUGUGCCUGCAGCAUAUGUUUAUCCGUGUGUGUAUCGCCCCUACACACUGUCCUCCUCUGUGGCAACAAGGAAAUGCCAGCAGUCAACCAACCAAUGAGUCUGGUGUUGUGUCCACUGACAUGUCAGAAACCUGUUUGGUUUGUCUUUGACUCUUCUUCAUCCCAGAGAUAACUGCAAAAACACAACACAAACCGAAGUGGGCAAUUAUGUGAAUGUCACUGAAAUAUAAACAGCGGCUCUGGAUGAUGUUGGAUUGUGUCCUACUGGUUUUUGUGCAUGCUUGUUCAAUAUUUUGUAAACACUGGAGGAGAAAUACUAAUGUGGGACUGCGGAAAAAAUGUUGGAAAUAAAAAUCAGAGACUCACCUUCUAACUUAUU